rnacentral:rRNA from 1 species
CCUACGGGAGGCAGCAGUGGGGAAUCUUGCGCAAUGGGCGAAAGCCUGACGCAGCCAUGCCGCGUGAAUGAUGAAGGUCUUAGGAUUGUAAAAAUUCUUUCACCGGGGACGAUAAUGACGGUACCCGGAGAAGAAGCCCCGGCUAACUUCGUGCCAGCAGCCGCGGUAAUACGAAGGGGGCUAGCGUUGCUCGGAAUUACUGGGCGUAAAGGGAGCGUAGGCGGAUAGUUUAGUCAGAGGUGAAAGCCCAGGGCUCAACCUUGGAAUUGCCUUUGAUACUGGCUAUCUUGAGUGUGGGAGAGGUUAGCGGAACUCCGAGUGUAGAGGUGAAAUUCGUAGAUAUUCGGAAGAACACCAGUGGCGAAGGCGGCUAACUGGCCCAUUACUGACGCUGAGGCUCGAAAGCGUGGGGAGCAAACAGGAUUAGAUACCCUGGUAGUCCACGCCGUAAACGAUGAGUGCUAGUUGUCGGCAUGCAUGCAUGUCGGUGACGCGAGCUACGACAUUAAGUACACUCCGCCGUCGGGGAGGUACGGUCGGCGAAGAAUUAAAACGUUAAAAGGUAAAGUUAGACGGCGUGAGACGUGCCGAACGGACGACGACGAGGGAGGUAGG